CCCUGAGUGCCCAUGGAGGGAGUAAAUAGAGCCUUUUGCAAGAAAGUCACAGGGAUUUGACCCUUCUCCAGUCUUUAGCUGGCAUCAAGGCAAAGGUGGGCAUGUACAAAGCCAUUCUGAUUUGCAAAGGUGGUGAGACUUUGGGACUGAUGAAUAAAUGCUUCUGGCUCUUAGGCAAGGAUAUGUUUACCUUGACCCCAUAUCACUCUGAAGACCACUACUGAAAAAUUAAACCCUGCUUCUGCACUAUGUACCCCAAAUCCAGAACAUAGGAUACUCCAAGGUGCUGCCACCACCCCGCUGAGAUCUAUGUCGCUUCUGAGUGGUGGUAGA